UCUACAGAAAGUUUGGAGCGGCAAAAUGUAUAUACAUAAUUUCGGUCGGAUGAUGAUAUUCAAAACAUAAAUUUUAAUAAAACUUGGAAAAUCCUUAUUAAAUACAUAUGUAGGCUUAACUCAUUAUAGCAUCUUGUAACAGAUAUGUUACAAACCCUUUCCGAGCACUCAAUACGGUGAAAAAAGAAAUUUGUUAAUUUUUACUUGAUGUGAGAUCACUGUUCGGGUUCGAAGGUGACGAUGAUAGGAUUGCCCAUCCCGAUUUUAAGUCGGAGACCAAUGUUUAGACUCCAAGACCGAUUUUGAGCAGGGCGAUGGACACUUUGAUAGUGCCUUAGAGCAAUCAUCCAUAUUUCCAAUUGCUACUCAGCCAGGUGGAUAACAAUAAGAACGGAAGAACUACCUGCUGAUAUUUAGAACUUAGAAACGCCCGUCCAGUUUUUUCUAAAAAUAUUUUCCCAAGAAUUAUUCCAGAAUAUCGCUGACCAAACCAAUACUUACAUUAUACACAAGGAUCCCAUCAAGAACUUUCACGUGUCCGAAAUCGACAUCCAGCAAUUCCAAGAGUGACGAACCAUUGAAAUUAUGAAAUCGGAACAACUUUCAUAAAGGAAACGAUGUCAGCUAAGAAAUUUAAAAAGUUAAGCCAAUUUAUGCACUUCAAUGACAAUUCUAAGGUGUUUCCUCGCCAGCAUUCCAACUCGGAUACGGUGUUUAAAAUUCGACCACUAGUGACUCAAUUAAACGAAACAUGUAUGUAAAUUUCGCUAAAGAAUCAGCUUUGUGUGGAUGAACAAAUUUAUUCAACGAAAGCAAGAAAUAACUUGAAAAGGUAUAAUCGCAAAAAGCCGAAAAAAUGGGGAAAUAAAAUAUUUCUACUUUGCGAUUCACGUACAAUUUGAAGUAGAAUCUGGAAGGCUUUAUUUUGACAACUAUUUUUCGUUGUUGUCAUAGAUAGAAUAUUUUGACUUAGGAAGAAUACGAUGGAUAAAGAUAUUUUUAAAAAUGCUCGUGGACACUCCGUCGAAUAUGUUGGAAAUGUAGGAGGAACAGAUGUAUCUACCAUUCUCUGGAAGGGCAACAAUUCUAUCAUGUGGUUUUGAUAAUGAGCUACCGAAAUUCAAAGUAAAGCGCUAUGAAAAGGCUAGGAAAAAAUAUAUUAACAUUGAAAGAUUUUUCAAAGUAGCGAGUAUAAUCGUCACUGGUUAGAUCUUGCAAUGUCUAAUUCUUGGUUCUUAUACAAAAGAAUUCGGAAAGAGAAGAAUGAGGAGGGCAAUCAGUUGUCAUCAGCUAAAUUUCGUUUAGAAGUUACUACGAUCUUGUGCAAGUACAAAGACAACUUUAACACGUAGAGCUGUUCAGAAGUAAAAGUAAGCGUCCACAUGCAAUGGAGUGCCACAAACGUGGUGUAGCUUUAUGCUACAACAAGCAUAACAAUUGGUUUAAAUAUUGUCAUACCAGCUAAUGUGUUUGUUUCAUUUUACACAAUGUAAAAUAUCUGUCACACUCCCGUUUUGUUUGUUUCCUCCCCAAAUAAAACAAAAAUUUUAAAAAUUGUACAGCACAACGACAAACUUGGAUAUUGCCGAUCAAAAUGUUAGGGAGUGUUUCUACCGAUUCAAUUGUU